GAUGAACGCUGGCGGCGUGCCUAAUACAUGCAAGUCGAGCGAAUGGAUUAAGAGCUUGCUCUUAUGAAGUUAGCGGCGGACGGGUGAGUAACACGUGGGUAACUUGCCCAUAAGACUGGGAUAACUCCGGGAAACCGGGGCUAAUACCGGAUAACAUUUUGAACCGCAUGGUUCGAAAUUGAAAGGCGGCCUCGGCUGUCACUUAUGGCUGGACCCGCGUCGCAUUAGCUAGUUGGUGAGGUAACGGCUCACCAAGGCAACGAUGCGUAGCCGACCUGAGAGGGUGAUCGGCCACCCUGGGACUGAGACACGGCCCAGACUCCUACGGGAGGCAGCAGUAGGGAAUCUUCCGCAAUGGACGAAAGUCUGACGGAGCAACGCCGCGUGAGUGAUGAAGGCUUUCGGGUCGUAAAACUCUAUUGUUAGGGAAGAACAAGUGCUAGUUGAAUAAGCUGGCACCUUGACGGUACCUAACCAGAAAGCCACGGCUAACUACGUGCCAGCCGCCGCGGUAA
rnacentral:rRNA from 1 species